AAAAGUGGGAAUCGGGGGUGAAGGAGGAGAGUGAGUCGUUUUGGAUCAUGAGAAAUGAUGUGAGGAAGGAGAAGAAGCUUCCGGGUUUCUUUGACUCGGUGGUGUACAAUGUGUUGGAUGGAGGGGUGUGCACCACUGUUGCAUUUCCCUUGACACUGGUGAAGAUGGUGCCCAAAGUGGAGAAUGGUUUUGCUGAGGUGGUGGGUCCAGAACAAUGCAAGGAGAAUGAGGAGGAAGAAGAGGAGGAGGAGGAUGAGGCCAUCGUCGAUAGUGAGAAAAUGAGUUGGAGCACCGAAGAAGAGAAUGUGGAGACCAGCGUAGCUGCAAAUAUGGCCAAUGGUGUUUUGAAAGUGCCACCAGGUUUCAAGGAGAAAGAGAUCACUGGGAGUCUCAGAAACACCCCCUUACUCUCACUGCCUACUCAAGAGAAGCAGCAGCAGCAGCCGCCAUCUUGCCAAGGGAACUAUGAUCCUUGCUUUCAGAGGGAACCUGUAUUUCAGCAUGGAUACAAGAGAAAGCGGGUAUCAUCGGACAGUAGUGAGGACAACACAGAUUUCGACAACAGUAUUACCAAAUUGCUUAGGAGAAACAGUGAGAUACUGAAAGCCCAUCUUGGAACUCAGAACAUAAAUUAUGAAUUGGCCAGGAACCAGCAGAAGCAGCAAACUGACAUCUUAGUUGCAG
rnacentral:sRNA from 1 species